GUCGAGCGGGGGAAGGUAGCUUGCUACUGGACCUAGCGGCGGACGGGUGAGUAAUGCUUAGGAAUCUGCCUAUUAGUGGGGGACAACAUCUCGAAAGGGAUGCUAAUACCGCAUACGUCCUACGGGAGAAAGCAGGGGAUCUUCGGACCUUGCGCUAACAGAUGAGCCUAAGUCGGAUUAGCUAGUUGGUGGGGUAAAGGCCUACCAAGGCGACGAUCUGUAGCGGGUCUGAGAGGAUGAUCCGCCACACUGGGACUGAGACACGGCCCAGACUCCUACGGGAGGCAGCAGUGGGGAAUAUUGGACAAUGGGGGGAACCCUGAUCCAGCCAUGCCGCGUGUGUGAAGAAGGCCUUAUGGUUGUAAAGCACUUUAAGCGAGGAGGAGGCUACUUUAGUUAAUACCUAGAGAUAUUGGACGUUACUCGCAGAAUAAGCACCGGCUAACUCUGUGCCAGCAGCCGCGGUAAUACAGAGGGUGCGAGCGUUAAUCGGAUUUACUGGGCGUAAAGCGUGCGUAGGCGGCUUAUUAAGUCGGAUGUGAAAUCCCCGAGCUUAACUUGGGAAUUGCAUUCGAUACUGGUGAGCUAGAGUAUGGGAGAGGAUGGUAGAAUUCCAGGUGUAGCGGUGAAAUGCGUAGAGAUCUGGAGGAAUACCGAUGGCGAAGGCAGCCAUCUGGCCUAAUACUGACGCUGAGGUACGAAAGCAUGGGGAGCAAACAGGAUUAGAUACCCUGGUAGUCCAUGCCGUAAACGAUGUCUACUAGCCGUUGGGGCCUUUGAGGCUUUAGUGGCGCAGCUAACGCGAUAAGUAGACCGCCUGGGGAGUACGGUCGCAAGACUAAAACUCAAAUGAAUUGACGGGGGCCCGCACAAGCGGUGGAGCAUGUGGUUUAAUUCGAUGCAACGCGAAGAACCUUACCUGGCCUUGACAUACUAGAAACUUUCCAGAGAUGGAUUGGUCCCUUCGGGAAUCUAGAUACAGGUGCUGCAUGGCUGUCGUCAGUUCGUGUCGUGAGAUGUUGGGUUAAGUCCCGCAACGAGCGCAACCCUUUUCCUUACUUGCCAGCAUUUAGGAUGGGAACUUUAAGGAUACUGCCAGUGACAAACUGGAGGAAGGCGGGGACGACGUCAAGUCAUCAUGGCCCUUACGGCCAGGGCUACACACGUGCUACAAUGGUCGGUACAAAGGGUUGCUACACAGCGAUGUGAUGCUAAUCUCAAAAAGCCGAUCGUAGUCCGGAUUGGAGUCUGCAACUCGACUCCAUGAAGUCGGAAUCGCUAGUAAUCGCGGAUCAGAAUGCCGCGGUGAAUACGUUCCCGGGCCUUGUACACACCGCCCGUCACACCAUGGGAGUUUGUUGCACCAGAAGUAGCUAGCCUAACU
rnacentral:rRNA from 1 species